UUCACUCACUUACACAUCUCUGAACACUCUGGGCAAUUUAGCACGGCCAGUUCACCUAACCUGCACAUCUUUGGACUUUGUUCUCAGCAACACAUUUUUGUUGUGCAAACAUUUUCUUCUUACUGCAGGCCUAAUUAACACAAUUUACAAGCAAAUGUGUGCAGAAACAAUUCUGGCAGUUGUAACUGACACACCUGUGUAACUUAACUUACUAAUAUGUGUGUGGAUUUAUUGUAUACUUUAGAAGCAUGGUUGAAAGAGCAUUGUGUCUAAUGGACAUUGAUUGUGAAAUAAUUACCUCCUGGAUACCUUUUUCCAACAACAAGUGCAAAAAAGCAAAUUUGGACAAGGAUCUCAAUUGAAUCAAUGCAGCAAGUUCAAGACAAGGUUCCAUGACAAGGAUUCUGCCACGUUUAUGAGACUGCUAUCAUAAACCAUAAUCAUUGAAGUACUGGCAUAGAAGAAGCUAUUGGGGAGCGACAGAUAUGGGUUGUCUUAAGAACGAUCAGAACUGUUCACACCAUUGCAUCAGAAGGUACUCACAAGCUGCCUCUACUAUACCAAGCUGCCAUGAAUUUUGUAGUGGAGGAGGAUCUCAAGGUACGCACCAGCUGCUGGUUUGUAAAGAAAUACCUGGAUGAUAAUCCACUUCCCAAGUACACGGGACGAAUAGUGAACUGACAGAGCAAAUUGUUGGUCCUCUUAACGUUGGUUUUGAACAAAGGUCUCCGACCUUGCAUUGUAUAAAAGGAAAAGCACAAAAAACCCACCAUUUUAUUGUUUAUCAAUUAUUUUGGUACCACAUUAACUGAAUUAUCAUUUACAGAUCUGAACAUAUAAUAUAUAUUUAUGCACUAAAUAGCUGAUGUAUCGAGUUGCUCUGAUAAUUUGAGAAGCUUCCUACAGAGCCUAAAGACCAGAAUAGAGUUUUAUUGAGAUGCUGCUGUACAUGCUGAGUUUUUUAUUUUAGAUUUCCAACAUCCUCAUUAUUUUACUUGAAAUAUUGUUUGUUCUUGUUUUGACUUACCUGAACUAGGUAUUUACAUUUAUAUAAUGCCUUUAAUGAAUCAAAAUGUUUCAAAAUGUUUAGUGGUUUGAAUGGAGUUAGACCUGAGCUGAACUAGGAGGAUGGUGACUGAUGGCGCUCUGAGUUGGACAGGUUUAAAGAGGCUUUUGAAAGUGUAGAGAGGUGUGAUUAGGCAAGUUAUUUAUGAAGGAAGUUACAGAGUGAGGACAGGUUGAACAAUAGCUUUGCCAUUAAUGAUUGAAGAGAUGGAGGAAGAGGAACAAAUAAUAGACCAGAUUGACUGAAUUGACCAUCAUUUUCGUACUCUGUUUUUCUAGAUUUAAUGGCACAAUAUCUGCUUUAAUUUUGAUGGAUAUUCAGACUUCAGGCUGGGUCCAGUUGGAAUUAGCAAGAAAGAUCUAUUAACCAAUGCUAAACAAUACUAUUGACAUAGAGAUCCACCCAUGGAGAUGUGGAGUUAUCAUGUCUCCAAUCUAUGAAGUAUUCCGUGAGAUAAGUAUAUUUUGCCAGCAAAUGGAAGAAAUGGGGUACAUCCAGAUUAUGAUUUGGAUUGCUGAAAAAAAUCUCAAAUUGAAGAAAAAAAAAUAAAUUCCUUCUUUCCAUCUUGUAAAAAGAUUGAACAGGACAGCAUCUUUAAUUCGAUGAACCUUGUUCAGUUGUGGAAAACAAUUUGAUUCCCAUAUCCAUCUCAACAAUACUGCCAAUUCCACAGGUUCAACAGGGAGAAGGAAAUAUUUAAAGACUCUGGUGUAGAGAUGAACUGAUGUUAUGUAUACUAAGCAAGUUUGAGAGUUUUGCUGUUGGAAAGUUUUGAUAUUUUUUGCUUUCCUGAGGAGGUGUAUAUGUGUAAAUAAAUUUGCUGUUUUUAUUUCAUGCUACUACUCAACCUUUUGUUUUUAAUAAACCA